CCAGAUUAUCGUCCCAACCCAUAAAUUAUCUUAUUUUUUUAUUGUCCCUCAAAUCUCAUCAAUGGCAGCACGGUUUCUCUCCAAAACCUUCCCAGCUCGACCCUCACAUCUCUCUACACCUCUCACUGCCCUUUCUCUCUCUCUUUUGCAGCCCCACCGAUUUCGUUCCACGCUAUCCGGCCGCCAUGACGGCCUCAUCGAGGUCGACCUGUCGUCUCAGUCGCCGGAUUGUGAAUCGGAGGCUUUAAUGAUCAAGAAGCUCGACGACAUAGUCCAUAGGAUCAUCGUCCAGAGGGCCACCCCUGAUUGGCUUCCUUUCCUUCCCGGUUCCUCCUUUUGGGUACCGCCUCGACGUGACCCAUUCAAAUUCACCGACUUAGUCGACAAGCUCACCGAUCGCCUCACCGACGAGGAGUCUCUCGCGCUCUCGUCUGAUCGUGGCUGGCCUUGCGCUCAUUUAUUAGUUAAUCGCAUUGGAUCUGAACCAGCAAGGCUUGAUGAUGAAGAGGGAUCAAGAGAUACGGAAGUGGAUGAGGAAGUAGAGAUUGUGGCUGGUGAUUCAGAGGGCACACUUCAAUCAGUGGAUAAGAAAGGAUGAUUCACAUCAAUGUUGAAUAUUUAGCAGCCAACUUACUGGUAUUACAGACCAGUAAUGGAUGAAUACAUGUGUAAAAUCUUGAGUCGACUGUCUGUUAAUGUGGGUGUACAAUUUGGUUGCUUGCUCACCUUUCUAGGCAUGUGUGGUGUCAGCUUCCGUACUUUUUGACUGACAAGGGAGCUUUUACAGUUUUUCUGCAGCUCGCUUAGCUCUGGAUCAUUUAAAAGAUUGAAAGAACAGAAAAUUGGGAUUUGAAGCAAUGGCAAGCGAGAAUAGAAUGCUGCACAGCCAUCGUGGUAUCGGUACAUUGGACUGGGGAGAAAUCGCUUUUAUUAGCCCCCUUCCAGUUGUAAAUUGGCCAUGUUCAAUGAGAUCUAACCUUGCUGCUAUUAUUUAUGGUGUUUAUGAGUGAUUGGUGAAUAACAUCAAUCACAUGUAUAUAUUAACAUCCUCGAGCUUGAUUGUUGUUGCUUUUCCUUGUUAUCUUAUAUGUAUGUACUAUGUAAUGGACCUGUUAUAGUGUUAUUUGCUUUUUUAAGGGAUUUAUUGUGGAAAAACCUAUUUCUGAUGCUUUCACAUUACAGAAUCAACUUAUAUCAUGUAUUUUGCGCUAAAA